rnacentral:lncRNA from 1 species
GCUAGUUUAUAAGCAUGCAACAUGAUUCUAAUAUUUUAGCCAGAUUUGUAACCAUUUCCUGUUAAAACUAUUCAUGAUAAGAAAUUAUGUUUUUAAAGUUUCCUAAAAGAUUGGUUGUUGGGUCAAUUAUUUUAAUACUUUUGUUAUUUACAGUGUUAAAAGGACCUGAACAAAGUCUGCUCACACCUCCUGCUGUGAACCAUAGCAGAACUUUUGAACAGGUUUCUCCACAUAUAAAAAUCUAUUGUAAAAAUACGGAAAAUAAUGGCAGCGGAAACACAGACACUGAACUUUGGGCCUGAAUGCUAGCAUUUGGAGACUGAGGAGAAAUCACUACUUGAAGUUCUAAGAACUGAUGCAGCUUCUCUACUUUGAGAGUUUAUUUUGGAAACAUUAACUUAAUUAAUGCUGUACCUAUUUGAGGUCUUAGUUUGUAUUUUAAAAACAAUUUUAUUACCAUAUCUAUAUAUGUUUCUAAAGAAAUUAAGAGAUUACAAGUAAGCCAGAGGAAGGUAACAUCAUCAUAAUUUUACAGUCCAUGAUAACCACUGUAAAUAGGUUAGUUUAUUUUUCCAGGUGGUUUUAUGUAUGCUUAUUUGUAUAUAUGUACAUUAUUUUCACAAAAACGGGAUCAUACUGUACAUUCAGCUUUGUAACCUGCUUUUAAAGAAUAACCACAUGAAAAGUAUCUUUUUUUAAUCAAUAAAUGUUUUCUAUUAUCUUAAAUGGUGGCA